GCCCGGUUAGCUCAAUCGGUAGAGCGUGAGACUCUUAAUCUCAAGGUUGCGGGUAAGUUGCAUGUUCAACACCAAACCGCGUC